AUGUCCCCUUCCAUCCCUGACCCCCUGCCUGGGACAAGCCUUGUUGGGGGCCCCCCAGCUUCAGGGCUGUGGUGGGAACAGCACCCGCAAAUGCCAGCCUCUCCUUUCUUCCCAUCCACCAGUUCACUGCAAGGCCAUUUCUGGUCUUUAUGCAACAGGAAGCCCAUUUCUGGUGAGAUGUGCCUUCCAGUGCCACAGGGCCACUGACCCCACGCAUCUCUGUCCUGUCCAUCAGUGCUGGGAUGGACAGCAAGGGCAAGCCCAGUGUCUGGCAGAUAGGUGGGUGGGAACGGAGAGGGGAGAAUGCCAUCCUAAGCCUGUGUUUGGGGAGCCCCCACACGGCCUGGGUACUGCCUCGGAAACCUGUCCUAAGUAAAACAUGGGCCUCGCCUCGCCCACCGGCCUGCGAAGGCAGCGUCUCCGUGAAGGUGGAUGAAAGCACCUUUGUCCUCAUUUUGAGCUGCAGGCUGGCCACCGCGCCCGGCUGCCCUCAAGUGACUCUCUAACCCAAGACCCAGCCCCUAGCAGGAGGAGGGUGGGUGCAGAGCUGGUGGGACAGAAAGAGGCCUCAGCAGGCCUGGCAGACCCUUCCAGUGCGUCCCAAAGCGUGUCAAGCAGCUCGGAGGACCUGUGUCAAGCUCAAGCCAUUGUAGGUCCCCAUGAGGUAUCUGAAGCCCCUUCUUGGUGACGGGAGGCAGAGGUGCUGACAUUCUGGGGAAUGGACCUGAGUCCUCGGCUGGCUCCGCGCAGGCCCCUGAAGGGGGUGAGGUGUGUGGUGACCUUCUGGAUGCCUUUAACUUCAUGGCUGCAUCAUUCCUGAUUCAGAAGUUUAGCCGGAGCUUCAUCUAGUGAUUGCAGAAUUGGACCAACGGGAGGACUGUGGCGCAGCCCGGUCCCUCCCUCGAAAGGACCAACAGGAGGACUGCGGCGUGGCCUGGCCCCUCCCUGGAAUGGAGCUCAGCUCUUCGGAGGUGUCAGCACCUGUCGCCUCCGUGGUCCGCCUGCCGAGGGAGUGCGGCCCCCGCGAGGUUCGGGGUGACUUUGUUUGCCGGAGAGGCCGGCCCUGCGUGUGUCCUGCGGAUGUUUGUGAGCCUUGGUUCCCACAGUACUGUGUAGGCUGCGUCUGUUUCGUGCUGGUCCUGUUGAGGCGUGAUGGUUCCCCCCCAUCCCAGGAGCUCCCUACCUGUGAUUGGCUGAACACCCAGUACCCCGCCAGCCACGCUAGGGGUUGCUGCUGGAAAUGGUGGCAG